AGAGUUUGAUCAUGGCUCAGGACGAACGCUGGCGGCGUGCCUAAUACAUGCAAGUCGAGCGAACAGAAAAGGAGCUUGCUCCUUUGACGUUAGCGGCGGACGGGUGAGUAACACGUGGGCAACCUACCCUAUAGUUUGGGAUAACUCCGGGAAACCGGGGCUAAUACCGAAUAAUCUCUUUUGCUUCAUGGUGAAAGACUGAAAGACGGUUUCGGCUGUCGCUAUAGGAUGGGCCCGCGGCGCAUUAGCUAGUUGGUGAGGUAACGGCUCACCAAGGCGACGAUGCGUAGCCGACCUGAGAGGGUGAUCGGCCACACUGGGACUGAGACACGGCCCAGACUCCUACGGGAGGCAGCAGUAGGGAAUCUUCCACAAUGGGCGAAAGCCUGAUGGAGCAACGCCGCGUGAGUGGAGAAGGUUUUCGGAUCGUAAAACUCUGUUGUAAGGGAAGAACAAGUACAGUAGUAACUGGCUGUACCUUGACGGUACCUUAUUAGAAAGCCACGGCUAACUACGUGCCAGCAGCCGCGGUAAUACGUAGGUGGCAAGCGUUAUCCGGAAUUAUUGGGCGUAAAGCGCGCGUAGGUGGCCAAUUAAGUCAAAUG
rnacentral:rRNA from 1 species